CAACUCCCGAACUCCAUGCAGCUGUGAAGAGCUCGAGUUUUGCAUAAGCAACACAUGGACAAUGUUUUUGAAUCACAGAACUCACCACCAGGCAAUUGACCCCCUGCCCUUCUACAAGCGACCUGUUGGAGCAGCUUUCAAGUGUAUACUUAAAUCUUCAUGGGAAUGGCCUCCCUGAUCCAGGAUCAGGUCUCCUUGAGCAAUCAACACCUAGAGGUUAGUUGGGAAUGAUGCUGUGUGGCUGACACCAAUGUCAUUUGAUGCAGUAUUUAACCAACAAUAAUGUGGCAUUGAUGAACAAUG